GUCUCAGGCCGUAUCAGCCUGAAGGCGCCCGAUCUCGUCGGAUCUCAGAAGCUAAGCAGGGUCGGGCCUGGUUAGUAUCUUGGAUGGGAGACCACCUGGGAAUCCCGGGUGCUCGAGGCU
rnacentral:rRNA from 1 species